rnacentral:misc_RNA from 1 species
GGAAAUUGGAUGAGUUGAUAGGCUCAUGUCCGGCUUUGCGAAGGACUGGGGUGAAAUUUCCUUGGUCUACUCACUAUUAGGGUAGUGGGCAUCUAUUUCAU